rnacentral:misc_RNA from 1 species
AAGUCGUAACAAGGUUUCCGUAGGUGAACCUGCGGAAGGAUCAUUAACGUAUCUACCCGGGGGGUUCGGGCGGCCCCGCUCCGGCGCUUUCGCCGUGAGCGGGUCUCCGUUCCCCUCGAACACUACAAACCCCACUGUGCACCUUUUCGCGGUGGAGGGUGUGGCCGCAUAUGUUGCCUCGCCCGAAGCCGCGGCUCACAAACUUUGUCUUGGAAUGUCUUUGCGGACUCGUGCCGCCCAUAAACAUAACAACUUUCAACAACGGAUCUCUUGGCUCUC